CCUACGGGAGGCAGCAGUGAGGAAUAUUGGUCAAUGGACGCAAGUCUGAACCAGCCAUGCCGCGUGCAGGAUGACGGCUCUAUGAGUUGUAAACUGCUUUUGUACGAGGGUAAACGCAGACACGCGUAUCUGUUUGAAAGUAUCGUACGAAUAAGGAUCGGCUAACUCCGUGCCAGCAGCCGCGGUAAUACGGAGGAUUCAAGCGUUAUCCGGAUUUAUUGGGUUUAAAGGGUGCGUAGACGGUCGGAUAAGUUAGAGGUGAAAUCAUGAGGCUCAACUUCGGAAUUGCCUUUGAUACUGUUCGGCUAGAGAGUAGUUGCGGUAGGCGGAAUGUAUGGUGUAGCGGUGAAAUGCUUAGAGAUCAUACAGAACCCCGAUUGCGAAGGCAGCUUACCAAGCU
rnacentral:rRNA from 1 species